AUUGAACGCUGGCGGCAGGCCUAACACAUGCAAGUCGAACGAGUGGCGGACGGGUGAGUAAUGUCUGGGAAACUGCCUGAUGGAGGGGGAUACCUACUGGAAACGGUAGCUAAUACCGCAUACCAUCAGAUGUGCCCAGAUGGGAUUAGCUUGUGGGGGGGGUAACGGCUCCCCAAGGCGACGAUCCCUAGAUGUUCUGAGAGGAUGACCAGCCACACUGGAACUGAGACACGGUCCAGACUCCUACGGGAGGCAGCAGUGGGGAAUAUUGAAAAAUGGGCGCAAGCCGGAUGCAGCCAGGCCGCGUGUAUGAAGAAGGCCUUCGGGUUUUAAAGUACUUUCAUCGGGGAGGCGUUACCCGCAGAAGAAGCACCGGCUAACUCCGUGCCAGCCGCCGCGGUAAUUC
rnacentral:rRNA from 1 species